GAGUUUGAACCUGGCUCAGAACGAACGCUGGCGGCGUGGAUAAGACAUGCAAGUCGAACGAGAGAAUUGCUAGCUUGCUAAUAAUUCUCUAGUGGCGCACGGGUGAGUAACACGUGAGUAACCUGCCCCCGAGAGCGGGAUAGCCCUGGGAAACUGGGAUUAAUACCGCAUAGUAUCGAAAGAUUAAAGCAGCAAUGCGCUUGGGGAUGGGCUCGCGGCCUAUUAGUUAGUUGGUGAGGUAACGGCUCACCAAGGCGAUGACGGGUAGCCGGUCUGAGAGGAUGUCCGGCCACACUGGAACUGAGACACGGUCCAGACACCUACGGGUGGCAGCAGUCGAGAAUCAUUCACAAUGGGGGAAACCCUGAUGGUGCGACGCCGCGUGGGGGAAUGAAGGUCUUCGGAUUGUAAACCCCUGUCAUGUGGGAGCAAAUUAAAAAGAUAGUACCACAAGAGGAAGAGACGGCUAACUCUGUGCCAGCAGCCGCGGUAAUACAGAGGUCUCAAGCGUUGUUCGGAAUCACUGGGCGUAAAGCGUGCGUAGGCUGUUUCGUAAGUCGUGUGUGAAAGGCGCGGGCUCAACCCGCGGACGGCACAUGAUACUGCGAGACUAGAGUAAUGGA
rnacentral:rRNA from 1 species